UACGUAGGGUGCGAGCGUUAAUCGGAAUUACUGGGCGUAAAGGGUGCGCAGGCGGCGUCGCAAGUCAGGCGUGAAAUCCCCCGGGCUUAACCUGGGAACUGCACUUGAAACUACGAUGCUGGAGUAUGGCAGAGGGAGGUGGAAUUCCACGUGUAGCGGUGAAAUGCGUAGAGAUGUGGAGGAACACCGAUGGCGAAGGCAGCCUCCUGGGCCAAUACUGACGUUCAGGCACGAAAGCGUGGGGAGCAAACGGG
rnacentral:rRNA from 1 species